CAUUUGUCGUCUGGUUCAAUGUGGAUUACUGGCUGAACUUAAGCAUAUCAAUAAGCCAAGGAAAAGAAAUCAACAGAGAUUCCUCUAGUAGCGGCGAGCGAAAAGGGAAAUGUCUGACAGUAAUCGUCUGAGUUGUCUGUCUUCAUAUUGCUAGAGUUCGUAACAGUCCGGAAUGGCUGACCAAAGAGGGUGAAAGUCCCUGUAGAACGUUGCACUUUAUGAUGGAUUAAGUAGUACUGUUUGAGAGUAUAGUAUGAAUCAGGAGGUACAAUCCUUCUAAGACUAAAUAGCGAUCCAAGACCGAUAGUGUACCGAGUAGCGUGAGCGAAUUGUGAAAAGCAGACUCUUAAAGGGUCAUUUAAAAGGACGUGAAACCCUUUCUUAAAGGGGAUGUCUGUAAUUAAUAUUUGCAGGCUUCUCGCCCGUCUCGAAACACGGACCUAGGACUUAUUUUGACCGGCGAGUAUUAUAGUGUUAAACUAUCCUGCGCAAUGAAAGUCAUAAUUAAAUUGCCAUAAUUCUUUUAGGCUAAGCCGGCCGAAGUAGACCCGAAAGAUAGUGAUCUAUACCUGACCAGAAUGAAGUCAGUCGAAAGACUGAUGGAGGUUCGUAACGUUGCUGACGUGCAAAUCGCUUGUCAGAGUUGGGUAUAGGGGCGAAAGACUCAUCGAACCAUCUAGUAGCUGGUUACCUCCGAAAUUUCUCUCAGGAUAGCGGUUAACAAUGUAGUUUCUAGUAGUAGAGACAAUGAUUGGAGAUAGUGGGGAUCAGUCCUCAUCCGACUCUCAAACUCCGAAUACAGAGCGUUAUUCUUUCUUAAUUGAAGGGUAAUUUUAAAUACAAGUGUUAACUAGUGGGCCCCUCUUGGUAAGCAGGAUUGGCAAGGCGGAUUGCUCCGAUAGUGCAGUUAAAGUGCGUAAACCAGGUUCAUCAGACUAAACGGCGUUAGGUAAUAUUGACAGCUGGAAGAUGGCCAUAGAAGUUGGAAUUCUCUAAGGAGUGUGUAACAACCCACCAGCCGAAUUACCUAGUCCGAAAAAUGGAUCGCGCUUAAACCUGGUAUUUAUACUGCACCACAAAAAUGGGUAGGAGGUCGUGAAGUUACCUUAGAAGUAUGAUCGUGAGGUCGUAUAGAGGUUACUUUAGUGCAGAUCUAGGUAGUAGUAGCAAUUAUUCUGGUAUGCCAGAAGACUGAAGAAGAGAAGGCUUCCACGGCGCCGUUAUACGACUCGUGGGUGAUACGUUCCUAAGCGACUGUUGAAAAAUAGAAGGCAUGUGGCUAGUCCCAUUCUCUGGUCGAAAGGGAAACGGGUUAAUAUUCCCGUUAGUGAUUUGUUAUAGGCGACUAGUUGCCUGGUACCAGACUUCUUUUAGUCCGUUGAAGGAUAGUCUUUUCUUCUUAACGGCGUCAACGCAGUGGAAUGAUUUAGUCAUAGAAGCUGCAUUGUAACCGGAAGAAUAUCGCAUUUGCGGUAUAACGUGAUUAGGGAAGUCCCAUGAAAAAUACCAGUUAAUAAACAUGUCACGGCGUACCCAUAACCGCAUCAGGUCUCUAAGGUUAACAACCUCUAGUGUGAAGAUAACGUGUCUAAGGGAAGUCGGCAAAUUAGCUCCGUAACUUUGGGAAAAGGGGUGGCUCUGAUCUAGGAUCAUCUUUUGUCCUGCUUAUGUCUACCGACGAAACUUGAGGGUUUACUUUCAGGUCUAGUUGAAUAGAACUGCUCUUCAAGAGAUGAUAAUUCCUUACUAUCAGAACUGGAACGGACAAGAAGAACCUGACUGUCUAAUUAAAACAUAGCAUCGUGAUAGCUUCAACUUGUUUUGACACGAUGUGAUUUCUGCCCAGUGCUAUGCAUGUCAAUAUGAUGAAAGUUAUUCAAGCUCUGGUAAACGGCGGGAGUAACUAUGACUCUUUUAAGGUAGCCAAAUGCCUCGUCCAGUAAUUUUGGACGUGCAUGAAUGGAUUAACGAGGUUCUUACUGUCCCUAGAUGCAUCUUCGCGAAACUACAGACUCGGGAACGGGCGAGUGGUAAUGGCCAGCGGGGCAAGAAGACCCUGUUGAGCUUGACUCUAGUUAGACGUUGUGGAACGAUGGUGGUAAUGUAGGCUACAGGGCAGAGUAAUCAACCAUGAAAAACCCUGAUACCUCUCAUUGUUCCGCUUAUAUGGUAAAUCCAUUAUCUUAGUAAUUAAUGUUAUUCAUAUACAUCGUUUGAUGGGGAGUUUGGCUGGGGCGGCGCGCCUGCUAAAAAGCAACGCAGGCGUCCUAAAGUGAGCUCAAACAGGACGGAAACCUGUUGUAGAGUAAAAGGGCAAAAGCUCACCUGAUUUAUUUCGUCAUUGGCGAGAUACACCGUGAAAGCGUGGCCUAUCGAUCCUUUAACUUGUUUAGAUUGUUAACAUAAAGGUGACAGAAAAGUUACCACAGGGAUAACUGGCUUGUGGCCGCCAAGCGAUCAUAGCGACGUGGCUUUUUGAUUCUUCGAUGUCGGCUCUUCCUAUCAUUCACAAGCAUAAUUGUGAAAGUGUCGGAUUGUUCACCCGUGCAAGGGAACGUGAGCUGGGUUUAGACCGUCGUGAGACAGGUUAGUUUUACCCUACUGUCCUAUCACUUAAGUGGCAUACAAUUUCAGUACGAGAGGAACCAUUUGUACUUGGCUCUAGUUUAUGCAGUUGGUUGACAUACCAGUGCUGCGAAGCCACCCAAGACAGAUUAGCGCUGACUGCAUCUAAGUGUGAAACUACCCCACAAGAGCGUCGCGAUCAAUAGAUCAUUGAGGCAAGAAUGCUGAUUUGCAAUUAGCAAAUCUUUUCUAGAAAAUAUUUGCUAGUGUUCACGAUAAAGUUUCGAUUGAGUCGUUAAGCUAUGCAAAAUAUAUAGUUUAGAUUAUUAAUUUUGCAGACAGUGGGAAUUGAACUCACUGUCUAUUGUCUUUUUGAUUAAAACCGUCAAUACUACCAUUUAGUUUUAUUAUUUCGCACACUAAUUUUUUUAAUUAUGCUUGCAGGUAACCACUACAGCUCCAUCGUACCUAUUUUAGGGUAAAUUUUAGCACCUGUUCUGGCCAUGUAUGAAUUCAGCUAUACCAGUCAUCUGCCAAAUGUUGAUUUUUUUUCAAAUAUAUUUU
rnacentral:rRNA from 1 species